rnacentral:rRNA from 1 species
UACGAAGGGGGCGAGCGUUGUUCGGAAUUACUGGGCGUAAAGGGCGCGUAGACGGUUACAUAAGUCGGGUGUGAAAGCCCCGGGCUCAACCUGGGAAUUGCAUUCGAGACUGCGUAGCUAGGAUGCGGAAGAGGGAAGCGGAAUUUCCGGUGUAGCGGUGAAAUGCGUAGAUAUCGGAAGGAACACCAGUGGCGAAAGCGGCUUCCUGGUCCAGCACCGACGUUCAGGCACGAAAGCGUGGGGAGCAAACAGGG